CAACCUCAACUCAUAUGGGACUACCCCCUGAAUUUAAGCAUAUUAAUUAGGGGAGGAAAAGAAACUAACAAGGAUUUUCUUAGUAGCGGCGAGCGAAAAGAAAUCAGUUCAGCACUAAGUCACUUUGUCUAUAUGGCAAAUGUGAGAUGCAGUGUACGGAACAUCAACAUUCUAGUAUGAGAAGUUAACGAUUUAAGUCCUUCUUAAAUGAGGCCAUUUACCCAUAGAGGGUGCCAGGCCCGUAUAACGUUAAUGAUUACUAGAUGGUGUUUCCAAAGAGUCGUGUUGCUUGAUAGUGCAGCACUAAGUGGGUGGUAAACUCCAUCUAAAACUAAAUAUAACCAUGAGACCGAUAGUAAACAAGUACCGUGAGGGAAAGUUGAAAAGAACUCUGAAUAGAGAGUUAAAUAGUACGUGAAACUGCUUAGAGGUUAAGCCCGAUGAACCUGAAUAUCCGUUAUGGAAAAUUCAUCAUUAGAAUUGUAAUAUUUUAAACAAUAUUAUAAUAAUAGUGUGCAUUUUUUCCAUAUAAGGACAUUGUAAUCUAUUAGCAUAAAUAUUUAUCAUAAAAUUAUGUCUGAUUGCUUAUUUGAAUUAUAUGCUUGGCAUUUUAACAUAAAAUAAAAGAUAUAAAUUUGAUAAAGUGCUGAUAGAUUUAUAUGAUUACAGUGCGUUAAUUUUUCGGAAUU
rnacentral:ncRNA from 1 species